GGGGCGUAGCUCAACACGGUCAGAGCGCCGGCCUGUCACGCCGGAGGUUGCGGGUUCAAAUCCCGUCGCUCC
rnacentral:tRNA from 1 species